AGCGAACGCUGGCGGCAGGCUUAACACAUGCAAGUCGAACGGGCUUCUUCGGAGGUCGGUGGCAGACGGGUGAGUAACACGUGGGAACGUGCCCUUCGGUUCGGUAUAACUCAGGGAAACUUGAGCUAAUACCGGAUACGCCCUUAUGGGGAAAGGUUUAAUGCCGAAGGGUUGGCCCGCGUCUGAUUGGCUUGCUGGUAGGGUAACGGCCUACCAAGGCGACGAUCAGUAGCUGGUCUGAGAGGAAGGUCAGCGACACUGGGACUGAGACGCGGCCCAGAAUCCUACGGGAGGGAGCAGUGGGGAAUAGUGGAAAAUGGGCGCAAGGCUGAUGCAGCCAUGCCGCGUGAGUGAUGAAGGCAUUAGGGUUGUAAAGCUCUUGUGUCCGGGACGAUAAUGACGGUACCGGAAGAAUAAGCCCCGGCUAACUUCGUG
rnacentral:rRNA from 1 species